UAAGUAAGCGGAGGAUAAGAAACUAAAUAGGAUUCCCUCAGUAAUGGCGAAUGAACAGGGAUCAGCUCAACAUGGAAAUUGGGGCUUCUGGCUUUGAAUUGUAAUCUCAAGAUGUAUUGCCAACAGGGGCGCAGAUGUAAGCCUCUUGGAAAAGAGAAUCAUUGAGGGUGAGAAUCCUGUUUGUCAUCUGCAGUCCUCUGUGUACGGCAUGCGUUCUAAGAGUCACGUUCCUCGGGAUUGGAGCGCAAAUUGGGUGGUAAAUUUCAUCUCAAGCUAAAUAUGGGUUCGAAACCGAUAGCAAACAAGUACCAUGAGGGAAAAGAUGAAAAGGACUUUGAAAAGAGAGUUAAAAGUGCCUGAACUUGCUGAAAGGAAAGCGGAUGGAACCAGUGUUGCUUAGUGAGAUUGUUGCGCGCUAAGGUGAUGGCCUGCUGCAUCAGCGCAAGCGUUGCUGUGGGUUUUGAUCUGGUUGCGCGUGAUGCUUCUUGCUUUGAACGUCAUCUGGGGGUUUGGAGGUGCUGACAACUCUUGGGACAUGGUAGCUCGCCUCUGGGUGAGCGAACGUGCCAAGCAGAACGUACCCCCAGACCUCUCGUCCUUGUGCGGAGUUCUGCCGCGCGGCAUGGUGACUGGAAUUGGUUCUAUUCGACCCG
rnacentral:rRNA from 1 species